GAUGAAGAACGCAGUGAAAUGCGAUACGUAGUGUGAAUUGCAGAAUUCAGUGAAUCAUCGAAUCUUUGAACGCACAUUGCGCCCUUUGGUAUUCCAAAGGGCAUGCCUGUUCGAGCGUCAUUUGUACCCUCAAGCUUUGCUUGGUGUUGGGCGUUUUUUGUCUUUGGCCUGCCCAAAGACUCGCCUCAAAACGAUUGGCAGCCGGCCUCCUGGUUUCGCAGCGCAGCACAUUUUUGCGCUUGCAAUCAGCAAUAGAGGACGGCACUCCAUCAAGACUCGUUUUUAUCACUUUUGACCUCGGAUCAGGUAGGGAUACCCGCUGAACUUAAGCAUAUCAAUAAGCGGAGGA
rnacentral:misc_RNA from 1 species